CAGCGACAGGAAGGGAUUCCCGGAGGAGGGCACUACAGGCUGCAGCCUCCGCCGCCUCCCACUCCCACCCCCACGGCAGCCAGGAUGGGUGUCCAGGGAAAUCACCUGCUCUGGGGUGUUUUCGAGGUCCGUGCGAGACAGACCAGGCUGACCCACGGAAAGCAGCGCGACAGGUUCGCAGAUGUUUUUCCAACACACAAGCGCGCGCACACCUGCAGGGAGGAGCACGGCUCCGCCAAGGCCAGGGAAACCAGUAUAAAGACCCAGCACCGGAUCGCACAGAGAGUCAAGGGGAGGGAGGCCCAAAGGGGUCCGGUGGACCGCUCAGUGAAUGGAAGAGCUGCAGAUAGAACCCGGGCUGGUGAACUGAGGAGUGUAUCCUCACACUUGCCAGCGAGCCUACAGGACCGUGACGUCACUUGAACCCAUGUCUUCCCUUCCGGUCAACAUUUUUCUACCCUCUACGGCGGGGUGUUUAGACGUGUCUUUGACCUUGGUUAUGACACCAUUCUUCCUAUAAAUCUCAUUUCCUCACGUUUGUUUUGUUAUUUAAGAGUCCGGACACGGCUGGGGUGUUGCACAGUGGCAGAACACGUUCACGGUAUGUCUGAGGCCCUGGUUUCAAUUCCUGGCACUUCAAAAUAAAUAAAUCAGUAAGUCAUUCAAACUGGCGUGGUAGUGCACACCUGUGACCCUAGUGCUCGGGAGACUGAGACAGGGGAGUUUUGAGUUCCAGGUCAUUCUGGACGUCAGUGAGGCCCUGUCUUAGAUACGCAUUUACAUGCAUACAUGUAUAAAUACUAUUUUACAGUCAAAUAACUCUGGUAAAUCUGAUGGAGAAAUCAAUAAAGAACUGUUGAGCUCUG